UACGAAGGGGGCUAGCGUUGUUCGGAAUUACUGGGCGUAAAGCGCGUGUAGGCGGUCUGGUAAGUCGGUUGUGAAAUCCCCGGGCUCAACCCGGGAACUGCAUCCGAAACUGCUGGGCUAGAGUUCCGGAGAGGAAGGCAGAAUUCCCAAUGUAGGGGUGAAAUCCGUAGAUAUUGGGAGGAAUACCAGUGGCGAAGGCGGCCUUCUGGACGGUGACUGACGCUGAGACGCGAAAGCGUGGGGAGCAAACAGG
rnacentral:rRNA from 1 species